UACCAGCACCCCGAGUGGUCGGGACGAUUAUUGGGCCUAAAGCAUCCGUAGCCGGUUCCUUAAGUCCUCCGUUAAAUCCACCUGCUUAACAGAUGGCUGCGGAGGAUACUAUAGAGCUAGGAGGCGGGAGAGGCAAGCGGUACUCAGUGGGUAGGGGUAAAAUCCGUUGAUCCAUUGAAGACCACCAGUGGCGAAGGCGGCUUGCCAGAACGCGCUCGACGGUGAGGGAUGAAAGCUGGGGGAG
rnacentral:rRNA from 1 species